GGUUAUAGCUCAGCGGUAGAGUGCUUACCUAGCACGUGCAAGGUCCUGGGUUCAAUCCUCAGCACCA
rnacentral:tRNA from 1 species